GGUAUGGUGUAAUGGUCAGCAUGUAUCGUUGUGGUUAUGCCUGUCCCCUAGGGCUUCCUAGGUCGACGUCAACGGCGUUCCCAGCCCCGAUCCGAUCCCGGUUCGAUUCCGGGUACCGCCA